rnacentral:lncRNA from 1 species
GCAUGGAUUAUGUGGCUUACCGCCACCUGGUGGGAGUGUGCUACACGGAGGAAGAAGCUAAGGCGCUGGCUGAGGAGGUGCGGGGCAGGGAGGGGGCUCGCAAGAGAAGGUGGAGGAUACAGGGAUUGUGGCUUCAACUGUGCCCUCACAGUUGAAUGUGAUGGGUCUCUUGGUGGCAGGUGGAGGUCCAGGAUGGCCCUAAUGAGGAUGGGAAUAUGUUCAUGCGGCCAGGGAAGCUGUCUGACUAUUUUCCAAAACCAUACCCCAACCCUGAGGCUGCAAGAGCUGCUAACAAUGGAGCUUUACCCCCUGACCUCAGCUACAUCGUUCGAGCAAGGUACUUGGGCUGCCCAGAACGUGGGACUAGAAACUGAGGAAAGUAAGCCUUGUGUUAAAGACUAAGCCAUGGGUCUGGUUCUAGGCACGGUGGUGAGGACUAUGUGUUUUCCUUGCUCACUGGCUACUGUGAACCUCCCACUGGGGUGUCAUUGCGAGAAGGCCUCUAUUUCAACCCUUACUUUCCUGGCCAGGCCAUUGGCAUGGCUCCUCCCAUCUACACAGAAGUCUUGGAGUAUGACGAUGGUGAGUGUCCUUUACCAUGGUCCUCUCCUGCUCCUAGCAUGCUUCCCUGAUAUUCCCGGGUCUGGAGGUCUAGCUCCCUUCUCACCAGUAGUGUUUGUUGGCUGCAUAUCUAAAGGCUUGGGGACAGCUUUCGUAAUCCUGUAAGGU